GUACCGGCGAGAGAUCUGCUCACAGUUCAGAGAGCUACUUUGGAAACUCCAGUGGGCCAUUCUAUUCCUUGUUCUGGAUAACCAACUGACUAACCUACCUGCCUAUUUAACACUAUUUGACUUGGUCCUCCCAAUGGGCUUUGAUUCCCUUCGAGUCUUAGUUUUCUGCUGAGGAGGCACCUCUCUCUCGGAUACCUGCAGCGCUGCCCACACUUCAAUCAUUCCCAUAUCGCUCUCCUGGUUUUUGCCAUAUCCAUGUAUCACCCUUCCUAUCAUUGAACCAGCUUUCUUUAUAUAAAAUCACUUAGAAAAUAAAUUUAUUUUUGCCAGGCA